CGAAAACGAAUUCUCUCUUGAGUGGAUCCUGAGUACGACGGAGCACGUGAAAUUCCGUCGGAAUCUGGGAGGACCAUCUCCUAAGGCUAAAUACUCUCUAGUGACCGAUAGUGAACCAGUACCGUGAGGGAAAGGUGAAAAGUACCCCGGAAGGGGAGUGAAAGAGAACUUGAAACCGUGUGCUUACAAGUAGUCAGAGCCCGUUAAUGGGUGAUGGCGUGCCUUUUGUAGAAUGAACCGGCGAGUUACGAUCUGAUGCAAGGUUAAGCAGAAAAUGUGGAGCCGUAGCGAAAGCGAGUCUGAAUAGGGCGAAUGAGUAUUUGGUCGUAGACCCGAAACCAGGUGAUCUACCCUUGGUCAGGUUGAAGUUCAGGUAACACUGAAUGGAGGACCGAACCGACUUACGUUGAAAAGUGAGCGGAUGAACUGAGGGUAGCGGAGAAAUUCCAAUCGAACUUGGAGAUAGCUGGUUCUCUCCGAAAUAGCUUUAGGGCUAGCCUCAAGUGAUGAUUAUUGGAGGUAGAGCACUGUUUGGACGAGGGGCCCCUCUCGGGUUACCGAAUUCAGACAAACUCCGAAUGCCAAAUAAUUUAACUUGGGAGUCAGAAUGUGGGUGAUAAGGUCCAUAUUCGAAAGGGAAACAGCCCAGACCACCAGCUAAGGUCCCAAAAUAUAUGUUAAGUGGAAAAGGAUGUGGCGUUGCCCAGACAACUAGGAUGUUGGCUUAGAAGCAGCCAUCAUUUAAAGAGUGCGUAAUAGCUCACUAGUCGAGUGACACUGCGCCGAAAAUGUACCGGGGCUAAACAUAUUACCGAAGCUGUGGAUUGUCCUUUGGACAAUGGUAGGAGAGCGUUCUAAGGGCGUUGAAGCAUGAUCGCAAGGACAUGUGGAGCGCUUAGAAGUGAGAAUGCCGGUGUGAGUAGCGAAAGACGGGUGAGAAUCCCGUCCACCGAUUGAC
rnacentral:rRNA from 1 species